CCUACGGGUGGCAGCAGUGAGGAAUAUUGGUCAAUGGGCGCGAGCCUGAACCAGCCAAGUCGCGUGAGGGAAGACGGCCCUAUGGGUUGUAAACCUCUUUUGUCGGGGAGCAAAGGACGCCACGCGUGGCGUUCCGCGAGUACCCGAUGAAUAAGCAUCGGCUAACUCCGUGCCAGCAGCCGCGGUAAUACGGAGGGUCCGGGCGUUAUCCAGUUUUAUUGGGUUUAAAGGGUGCGCAGGCGGAAGAUCAAGUCAGCGGUAAAAUUGAGGGGCUCAACCUCUUCUAGCAGUUGAAACUGGGUUUCUUGAGUGAGUGAGAAGCAGGCGGAAUGCGUGGUGUAGCGGUGAAAUGCAUAGAUAUCACGCAGAACCCCGAUUGCGAAGGCAGCAUACUGGCGCUCAACUGACGCUCAUGCACGAAAGUGCGGGUAUCGAACAGGAUUAGAUACCCGGGUAGUC
rnacentral:rRNA from 1 species